rnacentral:rRNA from 1 species
CGCGUAGGCGGAUGUUAUGUGUGUGAUGUGAAAGCCCCGGGCUUAACCUGGGAAGUGCAUCGCAAACUGUAUAUCUAGAGUAGAUGAGAGGGUGAUGGAAUUUCCGGUGUAGCGGUGAAAUGCGUAGAGAUCGGAAGGAACGUCAAUGGCGAAGGCAGUCACCUGGCAUCAUACUGACGCUGAAGCGCGAGAGCGUGGGGAGCGAACAGGAUUAGAUACCCUGGUAGUCCACGCUGUAAACGAUGAGAACUAAAUGUUGGUUGGGGAACCAAUCGGUAUUGAAGCUAACGCGGAUAAGUUUUCCGCCUGGGAAGUACGGCCGCAAGGUUGAA